rnacentral:scRNA from 1 species
GCGUAGCCAUGGGCAAGCGCAGCGACCUGGAA